rnacentral:rRNA from 3 species
GGUUAAGCGACUAAGCGUACACGGUGGAUGCCCUGGCAGUCAGAGGCGAUGAAGGGCGUGCUAAUCUGCGAUAAGCGCCGGUAAGGUGAUAUGAACCGUUAUAACCGGCGAUACCCGAAUGGGGAAACCCAGUGUGACUCGUCACACUAUCAUUAACUGAAUCCAUAGGUUAAUGAGGCGAACCGGGGGAACUGAAACAUCUAAGUACCCCGAGGAAAAGAAAUCAACCGAGAUUCCCCCAGUAGCGGCGAGCGAACGGGGAGGAGCCCAGAGCCUGAAUCAGCAUGUGUGUUAGUGGAAGCGUCUGGAAAGGCGCGCGAUACAGGGUGACAGCCCCGUACACAAAAGCGCAUGUGCUGUGAGCUCGAUGAGUAGGGCGGGACACGUGGUAUCCUGUCUGAAUAUGGGGGGACCAUCCUCCAAGGCUAAAUACUCCUGACUGACCGAUAGUGAACCAGUACCGUGAGGGAAAGGCGAAAAGAACCCCGGCGAGGGGAGUGAAAAAGAACCUGAAACCGUGUACGUACAAGCAGUGGGAGCCCCACCACCAAAGCAUUCUCUGGUGUUGAAGGCCCUGCAAAGCAGCAUCGCGGUGGCGGAGCGUCGUUUGCGACGCCCAACACACAAAACAAGCGGUGAAUGCUUUGGGGUGGGGUGACUGCGUACCUUUUGUAUAAUGGGUCAGCGACUUAUAUUCUGUAGCAAGGUUAACCGAAUAGGGGAGCCGGAGGGAAACCGAGUCUUAAUUGGGCGUUAAGUUGCAGGGUAUAGACCCGAAACCCGGUGAUCUAGCCAUGGGCAGGUUGAAGGUUGGGUAACACUAACUGGAGGACCGAACCGACUAAUGUUGAAAAAUUAGCGGAUGACCUGUGGCUGGGGGUGAAAGGCCAAUCAAACCGGGAGAUAGCUGGUUCUCCCCGAAAGCUAUUUAGGUAGCGCCUCGUGAAUUCAUCUCCGGGGGUAGAGCACUGUUUCGGCUAGGGGGCCAUCCCGGCUUACCAACCCGAUGCAAACUGCGAAUACCGGAGAAUGUUAUCACGGGAGACACACGGCGGGUGCUAACGUCCGUCGUGAAGAGGGAAACAACCCAGACCGCCAGCUAAGGUCCCAAAGUCAUGGUUAAGUGGGAAACGAUGUGGGAAGGCCCAGACAGCCAGGAUGUUGGCUUAGAAGCAGCCAUCAUUUAAAGAAAGCGUAAUAGCUCACUGGUCGAGUCGGCCUGCGCGGAAGAUGUAACGGGGCUAAACCAUGCACCGAAGCUGCGGCAGCGACGCUGAUGCGUUGUUGGGUAGGGGAGCGUUCUGUAAGCCUGCGAAGGUGACCUGUGAGGGUUGCUGGAGGUAUCAGAAGUGCGAAUGCUGACAUAAGUAACGAUAAAGCGGGUGAAAAGCCCGCUCGCCGGAAGACCAAGGGUUCCUGUCCAACGUUAAUCGGGGCAGGGUGAGUCGACCCCUAAGGCGAGGCCGAAAGGCGUAGUCGAUGGGAAACGGGUUAAUAUUCCCGUACUUGGUGUUACUGCGAAGGGGGGACGGAGAAGGCUAUGUUGGCCGGGCGACGGUUGUCCCGGUUUAAGCGUGUAGGUGUGUGUUCCAGGUAAAUCCGGUUCACUUUAACACUGAGGCGUGAUGACGAGGCACUACGGUGCUGAAGCAACAAAUGCCCUGCUUCCAGGAAAAGCCUCUAAGCAUCAGGUAACAUCAAAUCGUACCCCAAACCGACACAGGUGGUCAGGUAGAGAAUACCAAGGCGCUUGAGAGAACUCGGGUGAAGGAACUAGGCAAAAUGGUGCCGUAACUUCGGGAGAAGGCACGCUGACACGUAGGUGAAGUGAUUUACUCACGGAGCUGAAGUCAGUCGAAGAUACCAGCUGGCUGCAACUGUUUAUUAAAAACACAGCACUGUGCAAACACGAAAGUGGACGUAUACGGUGUGACGCCUGCCCGGUGCCGGAAGGUUAAUUGAUGGGGUCAGCGCAAGCGAAGCUCCUGAUCGAAGCCCCGGUAAACGGCGGCCGUAACUAUAACGGUCCUAAGGUAGCGAAAUUCCUUGUCGGGUAAGUUCCGACCUGCACGAAUGGCGUAAUGAUGGCCAGGCUGUCUCCACCCGAGACUCAGUGAAAUUGAACUCGCUGUGAAGAUGCAGUGUACCCGCGGCAAGACGGAAAGACCCCGUGAACCUUUACUAUAGCUUGACACUGAACAUUGAGCCUUGAUGUGUAGGAUAGGUGGGAGGCUUUGAAGUGUGGACGCCAGUCUGCAUGGAGCCGACCUUGAAAUACCACCCUUUAAUGUUUGAUGUUCUAACGUGGACCCGUUACCCGGGUUGCGGACAGUGUCUGGUGGGUAGUUUGACUGGGGCGGUCUCCUCCUAAAGAGUAACGGAGGAGCACGAAGGUUGGCUAAUCCUGGUCGGACAUCAGGAGGUUAGUGCAAUGGCAUAAGCCAGCUUGACUGCGAGCGUGACGGCGCGAGCAGGUGCGAAAGCAGGUCAUAGUGAUCCGGUGGUUCUGAAUGGAAGGGCCAUCGCUCAACGGAUAAAAGGUACUCCGGGGAUAACAGGCUGAUACCGCCCAAGAGUUCAUAUCGACGGCGGUGUUUGGCACCUCGAUGUCGGCUCAUCACAUCCUGGGGCUGAAGUAGGUCCCAAGGGUAUGGCUGUUCGCCAUUUAAAGUGGUACGCGAGCUGGGUUUAGAACGUCGUGAGACAGUUCGGUCCCUAUCUGCCGUGGGCGCUGGAGAACUGAGGGGGGCUGCUCCUAGUACGAGAGGACCGGAGUGGACGCAUCACUGGUGUUCGGGUUGUCAUGCCAAUGGCACUGCCCGGUAGCUAAAUGCGGAAGAGAUAAGUGCUGAAAGCAUCUAAGCACGAAACUUGCCCCGAGAUGAGUUCUCCCUGAGACUUAAAGUCUCCUGAAGGAACGUUGAAGACGACGACGUUGAUAGGCCGGGUGUGUAAGCGCAGCGAUGCGUUGAGCUAACCGGUACUAAUGAACCGUGAGGCUUAACCUU